rnacentral:rRNA from 1 species
AAUAGAUACCCGGGUAGUCCACGCCGUAAACGAUGGAUACUAGCUGUCCGGCGCAAGCUGGGUGGCUAAGCGAAAGUGAUAAGUAUCCCACCUGGGGAGUACGUUCGCAAGAAUGAAACUCAAAGGAAUUGACGGGGGCCCGCACAAGCGGUGGAGCAUGUGGUUUAAUUCGAUGAUACGCGAGGAACCUUACCAGGGCUUAAAUGUAGUGGGACAGGUCCAGAGAUGGGCCCUUCUUCGGACUCAUUACAAGGUGCUGCAUGGUUGUCGUCAGCUCGUGCCGUGAGGUGUCAGGUUAAGUCCUAUAACGAGCGCAACCCCUGUCGUUAGUUGCCAGCGAGUGAAGUCGGGAACUCUAACGAGACUGCCGGUGCAAACCGUGAGGAAGGUGGGGAUGACGUCAAAUCAUCACGGCCCUUACGUCCUGGGCUACACACGUGCUACAAUGGCCGGUACAGAGAGCAGCCACGCCGCAAGGCGGAGCGAAUCUACAAAACCGGUCACAGUUCGGAUCGGGGUCUGCAACUCGA